AAGGAGCUUCACUUGGAAAGUUUGCAGCAUCAAAUAGAAAGUGAUCUUAUGCCAAGUGCCUGAUGUGACCAAAGUGAUUCUUAUGGUAUCCUUUUAGUUAUAUGUUCUAUGGCGAAUUAUAUAAGCUAACUUCUUCUUUUUUUGUUUACAAUUAGUUAAUAUUUAAAAAAGAUGUUAUACCUGCUAUAUGGACCAUGAGGUAUACUAUCUAUGUUGUUUAGUUUGCCUUAAUUUCUUUCUGUUUAGUUUUCAACCAAGGUUGGAAUUUCUUAGGCUUGGCUGGUGGAACAUUAUUAAUUUUCAAGUUGAUUACAAAUAUGCAGUUGGGGAUAGGAUAGUGGCAGAGGAUUGGAAUGAGCUAGGGGUGACAAACUGUGGAAAUGAGACAAAACUCCUAAGUGGAUUAGUUAUCGAGGUGGAUUGCCCAAGGCAUUAUAUGUGGUGAAAGAUGUAUUAACUGGAAUGAGAAAACAUGUUCAUCUGCUGGACAUAACAACUUUAUCACAACUUAGAAAAGAUGCACAUCCUGGCUUUUAUAAUGGCUUUAGGCACAUGGACUGUAACCAUUGGUGUAUUGCUGGACUUCCAGAUACUUGGAAUCAACUUUUUAUGCAUUUCUCAUAAUUGUCAUGCUUGUUCUGGUAUUUUUAGUUUAUAAAAAUGAUCAUACGGUUACUUAGGUCCUUCCUUCCAUAGAUCACCAUUUUUAAGGGAAUCAAGUAUCAAAACAUGACCGAUCUUUUCAUUUUCAA